rnacentral:rRNA from 1 species
AGUGAACGCUGGCGGUAGGCCUAACACAUGCAAGUCGAACGGCAGCACAGUAAGAGCUUGCUCUUACGGGUGGCGAGUGGCGGACGGGUGAGGAAUACAUCGGAAUCUACUUUUUCGUGGGGGAUAACGUAGGGAAACUUACGCUAAUACCUCAUACGACCUACGGGUGAAAGCAGGGGAUCUUCGGACCUUGCGCGAUUGAAUGAGCCGAUGUCGGAUUAGCUAGUUGGCGGGGUAAAGGCCCACCAAGGCGACGAUCCGUAGCUGGUCUGAGAGGAUGAUCAGCCACACUGGAACUGAGACACGGUCCAGACUCCUACGGGAGGCAGCAGUGGGGAAUAUUGGACAAUGGGCGCAAGCCUGAUCCAGCCAUACCGCGUGGGUAAAGAAGGCCUUCGGGUUGUAAAGCCCUUUUGUUGGGAAAGAAAAGCAGCAGGUUAAUACCCCGCUGUUCUGACGGUACCCAAAGAAUAAGCACCGGCUAACUUCGUG